UACGGAGGGUGCGAGCGUUGUCCGGAAUCAUUGGGCGUAAAGGGCGCGUAGGUGGCGGGACAAGCGUGCGGUGAAAGCCUGGGGCUCAACCCCGGGUCGGCCGUGCGAACUGUUUUGCUUGAGCACUGUAGAGGCAGGCGGAAUUCCGGGUGUAGCGGUGGAAUGCAUAGAGAUCCGGAAGAACACCGGUGGCGAAGGCGGCCUGCUGGGCAGUAGCUGACACUGAGGCGCGACAGCGUGGGGAGCAAACAGG
rnacentral:rRNA from 1 species